ensembl:lncRNA
ACCGAAAAGCACCAAGAACUGAUUACCUCCACGUAGAUGUUCUCCUCCAGGAUAUGGAUUAAAGUCUUACUCUUCCUAUUGUUAUUCCACAUCAAAUGUCGUCCUCCUCUAGACCUUCAGAUCUGAGGUCUCAAGAGGUCUCUGAACAACUCUCCAAGAGGAGAAUAGACAAGCUUGUGAGCACAUACCACGUCUUCCAGAGUCCACAAUGGGCAACGCUCUGAAGAGCUGCAGCCCAACACCUGCAGAUUGAACCCUGGGCCGAGAAAACCGACAGAGCUUCAUUUGUCAUAUACUGAACAAAGGAAUUUGUCACAGUCAAAUUUAAACCUAUUAACUGUUACACACUGAUAAUCUUAACUUGAAUGCAGUGGUUGAAGAAGUACUAUUUUUGUAUAUAUAUUGUAUGACUUUAGAUUAUUGCUGUCAUUACUGUUGGUUAUUGUGAUUGUUAAUACUGACUAACACCUGCCGAACACAUGUUGCGUGAUGUAAACAAAAGCAACAUCCUUUAACGGAAACAUGUACAUCUAAAUUUGAUAUUUGCAAAUUUUCUCACAAAGAAUUCACUUGUAGGAGAAUAUUAAAUGUGUUUACAGUCAAUUGAAAUCAGCCAACCAUGCAGUGAAAACAUUUGACCUUGCAUGCCAUCUACAACAGGAAUAGGAAUACUCAGUUAUUCGUCUACUGUACUCAAAAGAACAACAGAAUUGAGGAUGUAUUUGGUGAUUUCCACGAGCAUUGCUUUGAUCCUUUGUGGAGUUGCUUCUGAUUUAACACACAGACACUUGUUUCCUCGCACUUCACCAAAG